GACGAACGCUGGCGGCGUGCCUAAUACAUGCAAGUAGAACGCAGUUGCGAACGGGUGAGUAACGCCUAGGUAACUGCCUCAUAGCGGGGGAUAACUAUUGGAAACGAUAGCUAAUACCGCAUACUGUCAGCUGGACCUGCGUUGUAUUGGCUAGUUGGUGAGGUAAAGGCUCACCAAGGCGACGAUACAUAGCCGACCUGAGAGGGUGAUCGGCCACACUGGGAAUGAGACACGGCCCAGACUCCUACGGGAGGCAGAAGUGGGGAAUAUUGGACAAUGGGCGAAAGCCUGAUCCAGCCAUGCCGCGUGUGUGAAGAAGGUCUUCGGGUUGUAAAGCACUUUAAGUUGGGAGGCGUGACCAGCAGAAGAAGCACCGGCUAACUUCGUGCCAGCAGCCGCGGUAAUAC
rnacentral:rRNA from 1 species